rnacentral:rRNA from 1 species
UACGUAGGGCGCGAGCGUUGUCCGGAUUUAUUGGGCGUAAAGAGCGUGUAGGCGGCCAUACAGGUCAGCUGUGAAAACUCGAGGCUCAACCUCGAGACGUCGGUUGAAACCGUAUGGCUAGAGUCCGGAAGAGGAGAGUGGAAUUCCCGGUGUAGCGGUGAAAUGCGCAGAUAUCGGGAAGAACACCCGUGGCGAAGGCGGCUCUCUGGGACGGUACUGACGCUGAGACGCGAAAGCGUGGGGAGCGAACAGG